GUGUUCGCUUCGGCAGCACAUAUACUAAAAUUGAAACGAUACAGAGAAGAUUAGCAUGGCCCCUGUGCAAGGAUGACACGCAAAUUCAUGAAGCAUUCCAUAUUUAA
ensembl:snRNA U6 U6 spliceosomal RNA